GACGGUACCUGAGGAAUAAGCAUCGGCUAACUCCGUGCCAGCAGCCGCGGUAAUACGGAGGAUGCAAGCGUUAUCCGGAAUGAUUGGGCGUAAAGGGUCCGCAGGUGGCAUUGUAAGUCUGCUGUUAAAGAGUUUGGCUCAACCAAAUAAGAGCAGUGGAAACUACAAAGCUAGAGUGUGGUCGGGGCAGAGGGAAUUCCUGGUGUAGCGGUGAAAUGCGUAGAUAUCAGGAAGAACACCAGUGGCGAAGGCGCUCUGCUAGGCCGAGACUGACACUGAGGGACGAAAGCUAGGGGAGCGAAUGGGAU
rnacentral:rRNA from 1 species